AGCACACUCCUCUACUUCCUAAUGUCUCCUUCGACGACUUUUUAAGUUUUCUUAAGGAAUCUGCAUCCUGCUUUCUAUAGUACCUGCAACAAUUUACAUUGUACGUGGGACUCAUUUGAAUGUAUUGGUCUUCAUGGACAAGGUGAGACAGUCAGUCACAUAUGCAUUCUGUUUAUGAAAGUGUUCUUUAAAUUGCUACCUUAGGAAUAUAAAAUUGGCAGAAUUAUACUCACUUAGUUUGUCUGAAUUAAUCUUUAUUUCUAAAGAUUAGUGAUUAACUUUCUCUGAAGCUGAAAAUUGUUACCUUGUGGGGGUGAAAAGGUAAGGUUCAUAAAGUUACAGUUGUUGAUUAACCUACAAAAUUUGACUAGCCUUCGAAUAUUAUAGCUUUGGAUUUUUUUUU
rnacentral:lncRNA from 1 species